CAGGAAGUAGUUUAAUUAGAAUAUCGGCUUUGGGUGUUGAUGGUGAGGCGUAAGUCUUCUUCCUGA
rnacentral:tRNA from 1 species